GACGAACGCUGGCGGCGUGGAUUAGGCAUGCAAGUCGAACGGUAUCAUCCUUUCGGGGGUGAGAGAGUGGCGAACUGGUGAGUAACACGUAGGUUAUCUACCCUCAAGACGGGGACAACCCAGGGAAACUUGGGCUAAUACCGGAUGUGAGCAACUUUUAGUUGUUUGAAAGGUGGCGUAAGCUGUCGCUUGGGGAUGAGCCUGCGUCCUAUUAGUUAGUUGGUGAGGUAACGGCUCACCUAGGCAAUGAUAGGUAGGCGGCCUUAACGGGUGGUCGCCCACACUGGGAUUGAGAUACGGCCCAGACUCCUACGGGAGGCAGCAGUCGAGAAUAGUCUACAAUGGUCGGAAGACUGAUAGUGCGACGCCGCGUGAACGAUGAAUCCCUUCGGGGUGUAAAGUUCUUUUAUAUGUGAGCAGUGCUUCUUAUAUUAACAGUAUGGGGUAGAGAGAUAUUAGCAAUAUGAAUAAGCAACGGCUAACUCCGUGCCAGCAGCCGCGGUAAACUCGU
rnacentral:rRNA from 1 species